AUGGAAAAUGUGCGCUUUUCCAUUAUUGAGAACGAUCUCAAGUGGAAUUCGGAGAGUCAUGAAACACACGAUUUCUUUUUCGAUAAGCGCAGCAUCUCCAGCGAGAACAGCAGCAACAGCGAUGCCGUAUUCAGCGAUGAAGCACAUGAGAUCUUACUGUGGCAGCAGCAGCAUCAGAUGAUCUGGGAUCAGCUUGAGAUCGAGGAGACGCUCAGUCUAGUGCCGAAUUCGAUUGCCAUAUUCGAAAUGGUUAAGACAAAUUGCUUUAUGGCACUUACACCAGCCACCAACGACGCCAACUUAGCGAUACUGUAUUCCUCGAUCUAUGGUUGCACAGAGAAUAUUAUACUCUUGCUCGAUCACUAUGGCGCCGAUCCCAAUUGUAAGGACUUAAGAGGUCGCACGCCGCUGCAUUUCGCCUGCUGUCGUGGGAAUGCGCACAUCGCCAAGGUUUUGUUGGACCGUGGUGCUGAUCCUAAUCGUUUUGAUGGCAAAAAGGAGGUAACACCUCUACACUGUGCUGCCAGUGCAAAGAGCGUGGAAUGCAUUUUGCUGCUACUGAAACGGAAAGCGCACAUCAACAUUGGCAUUGAGAAGCGUUCGGCAUUGCAUUUCGCUAUCGAUCGCAACGCUGUCGAAUGUGUGGAGACGUUGCUCAAAUAUGGCGCAGAUCCCAACACGCCACAGGUUUACACAGAAACGCCGCUGCACACCGCUUGCGCAUUAGGCUUCAGUAAAUGUGUGGAACUGCUUUUGAAUCAUGGUGCAGAUGUGCGCUCCCAGUUCGGUGAAGGGAAACUGACAGCCUUGCACUUGGCCGCUGAGAACGAUUACGUCGAAUGUGUACGUUUGCUGCUGGAGCACGGCGCGGAAGUGGAUUGUCGUAAUGCCAGCCACCAGACCCCACUGCAUUUGGCUUGUCUAUCGCAAUCCAUCGAAACUGUCGAUUUACUGAUCAAGCAUGGCGCCAACGUGAAUGCUGUCUACAGGGACGGUCGCACCGCUUUGCAUGCUGCAAUCGUCAAACAAUCUCGUAGUUUGGACUGUUGUAAUGCUUUAUUGAAAGCGGGUGCCAAUGUCAACAAAGCGGAUAAUUAUGGUUAUACGCCUCUGCAUAUAGCGGCCUUGAAUGAGUUCAGUAAUUGCGUCUACACUUUCAUUGAACAUGGCGCAGAUAUAACGGCUCGCACCUCGGGCAAUGUGUCCGCUUUGUCUUUCAUCGUGCGCCGUACACCUGAGAUUAUACCGAAACUGACGGCCAAAAUGGAUAGUUCAAUUAAGGUAAAUGACCACGAAAUCGGUGACGUAGACUGUGAAAUCAAAUUGGAUUUUCGUCUGUUGGUGCCGCCAACAUCAUUUGAACGUGGAGAGACUGAAUUGCUUCUGUCGUUAAUCGAAGUCGGCCAGAAGCGUUUAUUGAUGCAUCCAUUGUGUGAGACUUUUCUUUUUCUAAAAUGGCGCCGCAUACGAAAAUUCUUUCUGAUGAGUCUACUUUAUCAUGCAAUCUAUGUCUUCCUAUUCACAAUGUACAUCGUGGGUGUAUAUGCACGCAACUGUGAUAAGAAUCCGAAGUGUGAAGCGCCUGCGUACAUAAGCACAGUGGGCUAUUUCGUUAUAAUACUGAAUUUAAUAUUGAUGGGUAAAGAAAUUUUUCAGAUGGCUCACGGCUUACAAGGCUAUGCGAAGUACUGGGAGAAUUGGCUACAGUGGGCCAUCGUGUUUGGUGUCUUGCUGUGUGUGACACCAGAGAUUCUGAUCCCCACAAAUUUGUUGGCGGUGCCCACUUGGCAACAUCAUGUGGCGGCUAUUGUAGUGUAUUUAGUGUGGCUGGAGCUAAUGAUGCUAGUAGGACGCUUCCCCAUAUUCGGCGUUUAUGUGCAAAUGUUCACAAAAGUUGCCGGCAACUUUUGCAAAUUCCUUUUGGCCUACAUCUGUUUAUUGAUUGCCUUCUGCCUCAGCUUCUCGGUGCUAUUCAACGACUAUCCACCUUUUGAGAAUAUCACAUGGUCGCUGCUCAAAGCCAUCACAAUGAUGUCCGGUGAACUGGAGUUUGAGGAUAUAUUUUAUGGUGAUAUACCCGUUAAAUUUCCAGUUACCUCACAUAUUUUGUUUCUCUGCUUUGUAUUGCUCGUGACGGUCAUACUCACUAACCUUAUGGUGGGUUUGGCUGUCAGCGACAUUCAGGGUCUACAAGUAUCGGCCACCCUAGAUCGUUUGGUGCGUCAGGCAGAGCUUAUUUCACGACUAGAAAGUUUAUUCUUCUCACGCUUACUCCGCCGAGCACCAGUAAAGUUAAUGCAACUCUGCAAGCGUAGCGCGCUAUUACGCACUUCACGCAACAAAUUACAGUUCGUGACUCGGCCAAAUGAUCCGCGUGACAAUCAGUUACCCGAGGACAUCAAGUUGAAUAUUUACAAACUGGUGGCUGAGCGACGCGAUCGCAAUUUGAGUUUACGUCGGCGAAAGCUCGAAAGUAACUACAACAUGUUCAAUCAGAGCUUACAGCGACAGUAUGAAGAAAAAAAGCGUUGCACUGCCAUACCAGUUGGGUCGUCGGCUGAUAAAACAUCAGCAAACUCCGUAACGAAAAACAAUAAUAUAAAUAAUAAAAAAUCAAGUAAUGAUUUAAAGGAACCGCAUAUUACGAUUACGGUGCGCGAAAACGACUGCUUGUUACGACCGCGUUCGGCUACCAAUGUGCAUGAUCAGUUAAUGGCCGAAAGCGAUGUGGCCGUAAAGCUUAAGAGCCAGGUCAAUGGCAUUUCCGAUGUGCGCGCCGAAGUGAUGGCGCUGCGCGAGCAAUUGCGCGCGAUCGGCCAAAAAUUAGACAGCUUUGCGGACAGUGCAAGCAAGAAACUGAAUUUCACAGCUGAAGAAAUGUGUCGAAUAAAAAUUCAUCUCGAGCAGAAAGCAUCUUUUCAGUGUUGAACCACAUAGUUGGAGAUUUUGACUUUACGAAAUGAUUAUUAAGAAAAGCUUUAAUGUAUUUUUCAUAACACUGGCGUUAUUUUUCCCCACGUCCGGACUCAAAACUCAUUCUACAAAAUAUGGAAGAAGUGUUGAAUUCCGUAAAAAAGAAACAUCGACAAAAACACAGAAGAAAAAGAGAACAGAAAAAACUUGCACAAAUGGAAGCAGCA
rnacentral:misc_RNA from 1 species